GGUUCGAUGGCGUAGUUGGUUAUCGCAUCUGUCUAACACACAGAAGGUCGCCAGCUCGAAUCA
rnacentral:tRNA from 1 species